UACGUAUGGAGCGAGCGUUGUCCGGAAUUAUUGGGCGUAAAGGGUACGUAGGCGGUUUAAUAAGUCGAAUGUUAAAAAUCGGGGCUCAACCCCGUAAUGCAUUGGAAACUGAUAAACUUGAGUAGUGGAGAGGAAAGUGGAAUUCCUAGUGUAGAGGUGAAAUACGUAGAUAUUAGGAGGAAUACCAGUAGCGAAGGCGGCUUUCUGGCCAUAAACUGACGCUGAGGUACGAAAGCGUGGGUAGCAAACAGG
rnacentral:rRNA from 1 species